CACAGACUCCAAUGAGAAUGGCUCCCGGGAUGAAUGUGAUCACCACUAGAGCCUGAAGUGGUGCAGUGAGUUUCACUUAGCAACCAGCACUGACAAUUUGAGAGACAGGAAGCUCCAGGACUGAUUCCAGAGUCACAGCUCCCUGUUAAGCAGCAACCCCAGGAAGGGCAGCUCUACCCUGCAGCUGAUGGUACCAAUCCUGCCUCCACUGCCACUUUCCCUACAAACUGGAAAAGCUGCAACAAGCCACAUAUGGUAAUGAAGGGCCUGGCACAUGAGACUCCUUGGGGCAGAGCUGUGCCCUGUGAGCUCUCUACAGUCAUCUUUUGAAGCAUUACUUCACUUUAAGGGACAGGCUACCACCCACUCUGAGGAAAACUGCUCCUUGGCAAGCUGGCUUGCUCAGCUAGGAAACCCCUGGAGCCCCAGACAAGGUGCUACUGAAGUGCUGAUCUCUGCAGCCAACCAGUUUCUGCCUAAGGAACAGAUGGUUCAGAAGCACUUCAAUAACCUCAGAUUGCAGACCUGAAACCUGGAAGAGAGCAUCAAAAGCAAAGGGGAGCCACUCACCAAAACUGGUAAUCAACUUAGCUUCAGUUCACUUCACUCUGCUUCUAAAGUGCAGUGGGUUGGCUCCAAGCAGCAGCUAGGCCCCGGAGUUUCUCACUCAGCCACUCCGCAGCAGGGUGGGUAAGAGAAGGAACAUGUGUGGAUUGUGAUAAAGAGAGUUCAGGAAGUGAAGGGGGGAAAAAGUGAUGCCAAAAGGUACUCACUCACCACAUCCCACCUGCAGCCUGAUGCC